rnacentral:other from 1 species
AAUUCCCUGCUUUGUGCGGCAGAUAAGCAGUUAUUUAAUCCAACACUUUUUGAUUUGGGAAUCCGGAUCUCGGAUGGCGGACUGCAGACCUCCCGACGCUUCGGCGUUGGACGAAGGGAGCGAGAACCCACCCGGAGGAUACCCACCUGUCUUCGUACGGGUUUCAUUAAGGCUUAUCACCGGCAACGCGGGGAUUAU